UGCAGUCGAGCGACUGAUUAGAAGCUUGCUUCUAUGACGUUAGCGGCGGGCGGGUGAGUAACACGUGGGCAACCUGCCUGUAAGACUGGGAUAACUUCGGGAAACCGAAGCUAAUACCGGAUAGGAUCUUCUCCUUCAUGGGAGAUGAUUGAAAGAUGGUUUCGGCUAUCACUUACAGAUGGGCCCGCGGUGCAUUAGCUAGUUGGUGAGGUAACGGCUCACCAAGGCAACGAUGCAUAGCCGACCUGAGAGGGUGAUCGGCCACACUGGGACUGAGACACGGCCCAGACUCCUACGGGAGGCAGCAGUAGGGAAUCUUCCGCAAUGGACGAAAGUCUGACGGAGCAACGCCGCGUGAGUGAUGAAGGCUUUCGGGUCGUAAAACUCUGUUGUUAGGGAAGAACAAGUACGAGAGUAACUGCUCGUACCUUGACGGUACCUAACCAGAAAGCCACGGCUAACUACGUGCCAGCAGCCGCGGUAAUACGUAGGUGGCAAGCGUUAUCCGGAAUUAUUGGGCGUAAAGCGCGCGCAGGCGGUUUCUUAAGUCUGAUGUGAAAGCCCACGGCUCAACCGUGGAGGGUCAUUGGAAACUGGGGAACUUGAGUGCAGAAGAGAAAAGCGGAAUUCCACGUGUAGCGGUGAAAUGCGUAGAGAUGUGGAGGAACACCAGUGGCGAAGGCGGCUUUUUUGGUCUGUAACUGACGCUGAGGCGCGAAAGCGUGGGGAGCAAAACAGGAUUAGAUACCCUGGGUAGUCCACGCCGUAAACGAUGAGUGCUAAGUGUUAGAGGGUUUCCGCCCUUUAGUGCUGCAGCUAACGCAUUAAGCACUCCGCCCUGGGGAGUACGGUCGCAAGACUGAAACUCAAAGGAAUUGACGGGGGCCCCGCACAAGCCGUGGAACAUGUGGUUUAAUUUC
rnacentral:rRNA from 1 species